rnacentral:rRNA from 1 species
GAUGAACGCUGGCGGCGUGCCUAAUACAUGCAAGUCGAGCGAACAGACGAGGAGCUUGCUCCUCUGACGUUAGCGGCGGACGGGUGAGUAACACGUGGAUAACCUACCUAUAAGACUGGGAUAACUUCGGGAAACCGGAGCUAAUACCGGAUAAUAUAUUGAACCGCAUGGUUCAAUAGUGAAAUACGGUUUUGCUGUCACUUAUAGCUGGAUCCGCGCCGCAUUAGCUAGUUGGUAAGUUAACGGCUUACCAAGGCAACGAUGCGUAGCCGACCUGAGAGGGUGAUAGGCCACACUGGAACUGAGACACGGUCCAGGCUCCUACGGGAGGCAGCAGUAGGGAAUCUUCCGCAAUGGGCGAAAGCCUGACGGAGCAACGCCGCGUGAGUGAUGAAGGUCUUCGGAUCGUAAAACUCUGUUAUUAGGGAAGAACAAAUGUGUAAGUAACUAUGCACGUCUUGACGGUACCUAAUAAGAAAGCCACGGCUAACUACGUG